GCAUCUGUGAGGGUGGAAAUGCUCCGGCGGUCAAGGAUGGGCUCGCGGCCUAUCAGCUUGUUGGUGAGGUAACGGCUCACCAAGGCUUCGACGGGUAGCCGGCCUGAGAGGGCGACCGGCCACACUGGGACUGAGAUACGGCCCAGACUCCUACGGGAGGCAGCAGUGGGGAAUAUUGCGCAAUGGGCGAAAGCCUGACGCAGCAACGCCGCGUGCGGGAUGACGGCCUUCGGGUUGUAAACCGCUUUCAGCAGGGACGAAGGGUCUCUGACGGUACCUGCAGAAGAAGCACCGGCCAACUACGUGCCAGCAGCCGCGGUGAUACGUAGGAUGCGAGCGUUGUCCGGAAUUAUUGGGCGUAAAGAGCUUGUAGGCGGUUUGUCACGUCGGAAGUGAAAACUCAGGGCUUAACCCUGAGCCUGCUUCCGAUACGGGCAGACUAGGGGAAGGUAGGGGAGAAUGGAACUCCUGGUGGAGCGGUGGAAUGCGCAGAUAUCAGGAAGAACACCGGUGGCGAANGCGGUUCUCUGGACCUUUCCUGACGCUGAGAAGCGAAAGCGUGGGGAGCAAACAGGCUUAGAU
rnacentral:rRNA from 1 species